rnacentral:lncRNA from 1 species
AGAUCAAUUGGAAGAUGAUGUCAUGCAUGGACUCGAUGAUGACUUUGAGAUCAUAGUUAAUAGAUUGAUAGGACGACCACGGGAUCUGGAAAUCGUCAUAAUAUUAGGCAUGGGUGGCAUUGGCAAAACAACACUCGCUAAAAAAGCUUAUGAUCAUCUUCGAAUCAGGUAUCACUUUAGCAUUCUUGUUUGGGUUACUGUAUCUCAAGGAUUUAGACGUAGAAAUGUAUUGUUACAAGCUUUACAUUGCAUUUCAAAACAAACAGUUAUGGUGAAUGCAAAAGAUUAUGAUAAAAUGUAUGACAAUGAGUUAGCUGAUCUGGUGCAAAAGAGCCUAAAGGGUCCAAGAUACCUUAUUGUUGUUGAUGAUAUUUGGAGUACGGAUGCUUGGCAUAGAAUAAGAAGAAUAUUUCCUAAUUACAACAAUAGUAGUCGAAUCUUAUUCAUUACUGGGGAAACUGAAGUUGCAAUGUAUGCAGAUACUAGCAGUCCUCAUGAGAUGAACCUUUUGAAUUCAGAAAAUGGUUGGAAGUUACUUCGUGAUAAGGCGUUUAGACCAAAUAAUAAUCAUCCUCUUGAAUUGGAAGAAAUUGGAAUGGAGAUAGUAGAAAAAUGUCAAGGACUUCCCUUAACAAUUUCCGUGAUUGCAGAACAUCUUUCCAAAAUGGUCAGGACGAUAGAAGGCUGGAAGGAUGUUGCCCGAACCUUGAGGGAAGUCCUUGCUAGUCAUUCAAAUAAAUGCUAAGGAGUGCUCGGUUUGAGUUACCACUACUUGCCUAAUCGCCUCAAACCUUGCUUUCUUUCAAUGAGUAGUUUCCCAGAGGAUUUUCAGGUUGAAACUUGGAGAUUGAUCCAAUUAUGGAUUGCAGAAGGUUCCAUAAGGACGUCUGGAAGUCGUAAAAGCUUGGAGGAAGUGGCAAUAGAUUAUUUGGAGGAACUUAUUAGUAGGUACUUGAUACAUGCCAAAAAAAGGAGAUUCAAUGGUGAGAUAAAAGCGUGUGGAAUACAUGAUCUACCGCGUGAGUUCAGUUUGAUAGGAGCUGUAAUGACAAAGCACAUGCAUGUUGGGAGAACUUACGUUACUCUUCCAUCACAAAAGCAUACUGUUCGUCACUUCAGUUUUCAAACCUUAUCUUAUUCAGUUGAUGAUUGUUAUAAUCUAUUACCCCCUGUUGCCAGAUCUUUCUACUUGUUUUCUCGAUUGAAUCUACCUCUUGAACCCCGUAUUGAGCUUCUGGGGAUAUUGCCCAUCUACCGUCAUGAUCCAAUAAUACAUGUAUUUUUUCUCUCGUUUCAACCUUCUCGGGGUAUUGGCCAUCUUCAAUAUAGAUGUAAAGUUCGAGUCAUUUCCACUCGUGAUCACAAAGUUGUUUCAUUUGAGAUAUCUCCAAAUUCGAUUUCUGGGCAAUAUUCCUGAAUCAAUCUCAGAGCUUCAGAAUUUGCAAACACUAAUUUGUAGUGGUAAUUCUUACGAUAUAACCCUACCUGGUAAGAUAUGGAUGAUGAAGAACUUGAGGUAUAUACGUCUGCGGGGAGCCACUUAUUUACCCAGUCGUAGAAUAGAAAGUAUUCUAAAUAAGCAUCUAGUGAUAGGGAUGCCAAAUCUAGAGGAAUUUUUUAAUCUUUGUUACGUCAGUUGUACAAAUGGAGUCUUUUAUGGCAUUCCCAAUCUAAAAAGAUUGAUCAUUCGUGUACCUUUUAUCGUACGUACACAACAGUUUUCCCGAUGGGCUCUUGGAUAUGUCCAGCUUGAGGAAACUCGAAAUAUUCAAGUGUUUCUGGAAUAUUCGUUACUCAGAAGGCCCCAUCAUCAGUUUUGUUUUUCCAUCAUCACUUAAGAGGCCGACUUUAUCUAGAUGUUUAUAUUUUCCUUGGGAAGACAUAUUAUCAACUGUUAUCAUGUUGCCAAAUCUGGAAGAGCUCAAAAUUAAAGGUUGUCUAGUCGGUGGAGAUGUGUGGAUAUUAAGUGAUAAAGACAAAUUCAAAAGCUUGAAGUUGUUGUUACUGAACAACAUAAAUCUUAAGCGUUGGGAAGCUAGCAGUAAUAACUUCCCAAAUCAAGAACGCCUUGUUCUGAACUAUUGUGACAUCCUGCAAGAAAUUCCAACAGAUUUUGGGUUAUAUGAUUGCAGCACUACUGCUGAGGAUUCUGCAAGACAGAUUGUACAAGAACACGAGGACAUGGGAAAUAAUUCCCUUAAGGUCUUGUUAAGAUCAGUUAGAACUAGUGCUGACUAGAUGACAGCUGUACAGCAAGUGGUGUAAAAUAUAGCUAGCAAUUAGUUAGAGUUAAUUAGGAUAUUAAAUAGUAGAGCUUGGAUUAAUUGUAGCCAACGGGAUAAAUCAUUUUCUGAAUGAGAAGUUAUUUUUCUCUGUUCUAAUUCUCUCCAACCAACUCUCCUCUUCUUCCUCUCUGAGUCCAUAGUAAACACCAUUAAUGGUGAUAUCUGAGUAAGUCAAGUAAUUCAUCAUGGUAUCAAAGCCAGGUUCGCUGGUCUCUUCGAUCCGCCAAUAGAUCGAUCCGAUAAUUGAUUUCCUGUUGAAUUCAUCCGGUGCAAGUUUGAGUGUUUUGUAUUUUCAAGGUUACAGCUGCAAUGGCGAUCAACAAUGGUGGAAAUCCCAGUACUACUGCAGAUCCAGUUAAUGGUAACACUACCCAGCAUACAGUCAUCGAUCAACAUCAUCCUUUAUUCCUUCAUCCAUCGGACACACCAGGUAGCUCAUUAAUCUCGGUCAAACUUAUUGGUCCUGAAAACUAUUCACUAUGGAGUAGUACUAUGCAUAUUAGUUUAUUGGGGAAAAGUAAAUUAGGGUUUGUUGAUGGGAAAUACCCUAACAACAAUUUGGAUACUUCUUUCCAUGACCUUUGGGUUGAAAUGUAAUGCCAUUGUGCUCUCGUGGAUCAUGAAUUCCGUUAGCACUGAGCUUCUAAGUGGUAUGGUUUACGCGUCGAGUGCUGAUGCUGUGUGGAUGGACCUGAAAGGGAGGUUUGAUAAAGUGAACGGUCCGCGAGUUUUGUUUUCGUACAAGCAAAUUGCUACACUUACACAAGGAGUUUCAUCUGUUUCUAGUUAUUUUUCCAGACUCAAAGAAUUAUGGGCUGAAUUCUAUGCACUCAUGCCUUUCCCUAGUUGUGGCUGUGAGGAAUCCAAAAGAUAUGUUGAACACUUUGAAUAUCAGCAGUUAUUGCAGUUUUUAAUGGGACUAAACGAGUCUUACUGUCAAUCCAGUAAUCAGAUUCUCAACAUGUCACCAACAAUUACCAUUAAUAAAGCCUAUGCAAUGAUUAUCUCAGAAGAGAACAGGUGAACUAUGUCUCAUCAAUCUCACAUUCCUGAAAUCAGGGAAGGUACAACCCUAUUCAGUGGAAAAGGUACAGUACAUGGUGGUGGUAGUUCAGCUGGUUCCAAUCCUCGAUCAGGUGGAGGCUAUUCAAGAGACAAUAACUCUUCAGGGUUCAACUCUGGGGGAAAUUCCUAUAAAAGAGAAAUCAAUUCUUCUGAUGCUAUGGGUGAACGAAAUUCUGGUCCUAACUCAAACUUUGGGAAUGCUGCUAGAGGAAACAGAUAUCCUAGCUCAAACAACACUUAUAGAAUGAAGAAAGGACCAGUGUAUUGUGACUAUUGUCAUUUUAAAGGACAUACAAAUAAAACGUGCUACAAGCUUCAUGGCUAUCCACCUAAUUCAUCACCUAAAAAGAGGUUUGGCUCUGGAUAUACUUCUGGGCAUCCAACAGCUAACUAUUCUCAGGAUGUCUCUAGUUAUGCAGGUGCUAGGCAAUCAACUUCUAUAGCUAACUAUGCAGGAGGAUCGAGUGCAUCUGCAAGUGUUGAUAACAUCAAUUGGAUGCCACCUCAAUUCACUAAGGAGCAAUACACACAGAUCUUACAAAUACUGGAUAAAGGAUCUGACUCAUCUAACUGUGCCAUGUAUGCAAUGUCUACAGGUAUGAGUUCUGACACUAUAACUCACGGUGUUGUGAGUCAAUGGAUAGUAGACUUAAGAGCCUCAAGCCAUAUGGUUGGUUGUCUUAAGUUGCUAGACGAGUUUAAAACAUUUCCACAAGAUCAAAGGGGCAGAGUGCAAUUGCCUAAUGGUGAUAUAGCAAGUGUUACUCACUUAGUCUCUUCUCAUCUAUUUCAAUGACAUAAGAUCUCAAAUGUGAUGCACAAUCCAGCUUUCAGAUAUAAUCUCUUAUCUGUGUCUAAACUAAGGAAAUGAAUUGGGCUAUUUUCUUCUAUCCUAAAUUCUGUAUAUUUCAGGACAUCUUAAGUGGAAAGGUGAAGGGGAUUGGUAGGAAUGAAGAUGGUCUGAAUGUGUUCAACUCAGAUAAUUCAAAGAUAGCAACUAACUCAAUUUCUACUUCUACACCAGUGUCAGUCUGCACUGUUCAGAAUACAUUAAGACCUGAUGUGCUUCUCUGGCAUAGAAGGUUAGGUCAUGCUCCUGUGAGCUCUCUGAAGAUUAUACCUGGUGUACCUAAUGUACUAAAAGAUACUGCUGUAAAAGAUUGUUCUAUAUGCCCUCUAGCUAAGCAGAAUAAGCCUCCUUUUCCUGUGAGUACAUCUGUUACCAAGUCUUGUUUUCAGCUUCUACAUAUAGAUGUGUAGGGACCUUAUAGGGUUCCCACUUAUGAUGGAAAAAACUAUUUCUUGAAUCUUGUAGAUGAUCAUUCUAGAUAUACUUGGAUAUUCUUGCUACCAUCUAAAUGUGAAGUAAUUGUUGUUCUUAGAUCAUUCCUUUCUAUGAUCAGAAAUAUUUACUCUUCUAUAGUGAAAGUUCUUAGAACAGAUAAUGGUAGUGAAUUUUUUUAACUCUCACAUGACUGAGUUACUGCAAACAUUUGGAGUUGAACAUCAGAGUUCUUUUGUGUAUACUUCACAGCAAAAUGGAGUUGCUGAAAGGAGACACAAAUACAUUCUUAAAAUUGCUCUAUCCUUGAGGUUUCAAGCUAAUGUACCACUCAAAUUCUGGGGUGAAUGUGUAUCUGCAGCUGUAUACAUCAUCAAUAGAACACCCUCCUCAGUCCUUCAUGGCAAAGAUCCUAUUACUAUUCUUGAGGGAGCUGCUCCCUCUCUUACUCAUAUGACAGUAUUUUGUAUCUUAGGAUAUGUUACUAAUGUCAAAAGGCAUGAAAAAUUUGCUCCAAGGGAAGUUCCAGCUAUUUUUCUUGGUUACUCAGCAACUCAGAAGGGUUACAAGAUGUACACUCUUUACUCCAAGGAUUUUAUCAUCAGCAGGGAUAUAGUGUUUAGGGAAUCAGUCUUCCCUUUUACAUUCCCCACUAAAGGAUCUCCUUUGUUUCCUACUGUUGAUCUUCCCUCUUACCUUACACUGAUUGUCCUUCAAUUUCUAUACCUUCUUCCACUUCAAGCCAUGCUCCUGCACCUACUACUUCAUCUGAACCACCUUUUAUACCUCAUACUUCAUCUACUGAUAUUCCUACCUCUUCAUCAGAACUUGAACCACCUAUCUCUACUACCUCUUCUUCUUCCAUUCCACUCAAAAAAUUAGCUAGGCCAGUCAAACCUCCCCUGUGGAUGCAAGACUAUAUCACUAAAAAUAAAGGCAAGGCUAGUUGCGGCUACCCAUUAUCUAACUGUCUGAGUUAUACUCAUCUCUCUCCAUCUUAUAGUCUUGCUCUUGCUUCCUAUUCUAAUACUGUAGAACCCCAAUCCUUUGAAGAAUCUGUCCAGGAUCCUAAGUAGGUUGCUGCCAUGAAAGCUGAGAUCUCUGCUCUUGAAAAUAACCACACAUGGAGUGUAGUAGAUUUACCCUCUUCUAAAUAUCCCAUUGGGUGUUAGUGGGUCUUCAAGAUCAAAUAUACUGCUUCAGGUGCCAUUGAAAGAUAGAAGGAUCGACUAGUAGCCAUGGGGUACAACCAUCAGGAGGGACUAGAUUAUACUGAGAUAUUCUCACUAGUGGCAAAGAUGGUCACAGUGAGGUAUGUUCUAGCUAUUGUAGCUGCUGGGGGGUGGUCUAUAUUUCAUAUGGAUGUGCAUAAUGCCUUCCUUCAAGGUGAUUUACUUGAGGAAGAAUUCAUGACUUUGCCACAGGGAUUUGCAAGCCAGAGAGGGACUAAAGUAUGCAGGCUUCACAAAUCCCUCUAUGGGCUAAAACAGGCCCCUAGGCAAUGGAACAAAAAACUCACUGAUGCUUUUAUGUAACUGGGGUUUACUCAGAUUCACUUUGACUACUCUCUAUUCACUAAGAAGGUGAAAUUUGAAUUGAUAGUAGUUCUUGUGUAUGUGGAAGAUUGUUGGUCAUAGGAAGUAGUGCUGAGUUAAUACUGAAGACAAGACAUGACGUACAACUCAAGUUUAAGAUGAAAAACUUGGGUGAACUUAAAUUUUUCUUGGGAAUUGAGUUUGCAAGGUCAUCAAAAGGUAUUGUGAUGAGCCAGAGAAAGUAUGCUCUAGAGCUAAUAGCCGAGAUGGGACUUGGGGGAGCUAAACCAGCUGCAACUCCACUGGAUACUAAUCUGAAACUCACAUCUAUUGAAUUUGAUAAACUUACUAAUCAAAACUCAGGUGAUGGUGAUCCUAUACUAGCAGAUAUUGGACAGUAUCAGAGACUUAUUGGUAGAAUUUUGUAUCUCACUAUGACUAGAGUUGAUAUAUCUUAUGCAGUACAAAUGCUCAGUCAAUUCAUACAUCAACCCAAGCAAUCUCAUCUUGAUGCUGCCAUGAGAGUUGUAAGAUAUAUUAAAGGUGCUCCAGACCUUGGACUUCUCAUGCCAUCUGUAAGUUCUGAAAAAAUGGAAGUAUUUUGUGACUCUGACUGGGGAGGAUGCCUUCAAACCAGAAGAUCUGUGACUGGGUACUUAAACACCUUUGGUGGAGCUAUGGUCUCUUGGAAAUCUAAGAAACUGGUUACAGUAGCAAGAAGUUCUGCAGAAGCAGCAUUCAGGAGUAUGGCCUCAGCAGUUGCUGAAGCAACAUGGCUGGUAAAUGUAUUCAAGGAGAUAGGGAUCAAUAUAAAUGUUCCCAUUCAGAUGUUCUGUGACAGCAAAGCUGCUAUUCAGAUUGCAUCAAACCCAAUAUUUCAUGAAACAACAAAACAUAUUGACAUCGAUUGUCAUUUUGUUAGGGAGAAACUAUUACAAGGAAUGAUCAAGGCUUUUCAUGUAUCUUCCAAGGAGCAAGUAGCUGAAUUGCUCACCAAGAGCCACGGGAAACAUGCACAUGAUUAUUUAUUGUCCAAACUGAUGUUAAAAGAUCUCUUUCAACCAUCAGUCUGGGAGGGUGUUAAGAGCAGUUAGAACUAGUGCUGACUAGAUGACAGCUGUACAGAAAGUGGUGUAAAAUAUAACUAGCAAUUAGUUAGAGUUAAUUAGGAUAUUAAAUAGUAGAGCUUGGAUUAAUUGUAGCCAACGAGAUAAAUCAUUUUCUGAAUGAGAAGUUAUUUUUCUCUGUUCUAAUUCUCUCCAACCAACUAUCCUCUUCUUCCUCUCCGAGUCCAUAGUAAACACCAUUAAUGGUGAUAUCUGAGUAAGUCAAGUAAUUCAUCAGGUCUACAUCCAUAACCUUCGAAGUAAGUUUUACUCUCUCUAUAAAAAAUGAUGGUUUCCCACGUCGAAACUGUUAACUAUUGUUCCACUGUAAAAUGUACAUUUUUCAUUGAUGGGCUGUACUUUAAUGCUUUGAGAUACUGUAUAUCGAUAAUCUUUCUCAAGGAUGGUAGAAACAGUAAGUAAUCUAGGUUUCCGUAGAUAUGUCAGAGAGUAGAAGUGUAUAAUAAUCACGGUGUCAAGGAGUAUGAUAAGUAGCCUAUGAAAGAGAUUCAUUUAGUUUUUGAGAACUUCAACUUCUUUUUUGUCAUGUACUAUUGAUCUCAAAACACAUUGCAAUCAUACAUUAACAUACAAAGCUUCUAAAAUGAAUCAUCAUUUUCUCAUUGAGUACUUUUGCUUCUUUAAGUUUAAUGUGUAUUCAGAAAAGAAAAUUCAUGGGAUGAAAUUGAGAUGAAGAAUGUCUCAUAUAAAGCUACCGAAAACAAAUACCAUGCGUGUUCAACCAAGUUCGUUGUUGUUGUUUUAAUGCAAUUUUCUUCUUAUUGUUGUGUUAUGAACCAGUAGCUGUCCAGAUACUAAUAAACAAUACUAACUAGUUUAAGAACUCUAAUAGCGCUGUUCCAAUGAUAGAUCUUUUUGUUUUCCCAUAUGGAUUAUUUGGCAGAAGAUAAUACACAUAGUGCCAUUCUCUAGGAAACAGAGGCCUCUACCCUUUGCUAUGAUACUAUACGUCAUCUGAUUCUACACAAGAGCAAUAAUCAUCGAAGGGCGGUCAGUUGAAUACCCUACAACUGAAACUUAUGUUGUGUAUAUAUAUUGAUUGAGCCAGAAUUACCACUAAAUGGAAAAAAAAUAUAAAGAAGUAAACACACAAAGUUAAGGGAAUUCAACGUAUGGCAUCUAUACCAUGUAGUUUGUCAGCAAAAGUUAUGGUGGAUCCACCACUGUAUAUAUAUAAGUACCCUUAAUGAAAUUCAUAACUGUGCCACUGCAUGAUACACAAUAUUAAUAAGUGGGAAAUUGUAAUAAGUUCCGGAAGUUAGUUAACACUGGAUAGCUACAGUGUAGUUAGUUACUCAACUACUGUAAAGUUAGUUAAGUAGUUAUAACUAACUCAAGUAGCCUAGUCAAUUGGAUAGUGGGGUCAUGAGCUCUGUAUAAACAUGUAAUCCAUUCGUUUUUCACAUAGUACAAACAUUACUUCUUCCUUCUCAAAAUCUCUCUCUCUCUCUCUCUCUCUCUCUCUCUCUCUAUUUUUUCAAUUCUCAUUCUCAUUAAAUGCUUCCUCGAGUUAGUUACUCUUGAGGCAGUAAUUUCGAUCCUCGAGUUCAUUCGAACUCAUGUAAUCGAUUAAAAGUUGGUAUCAUUGGUAUCAGAGCCAAUAGAAUUCUUGGCAAUUAUGAUGAAAACAGCUCGAUCUAUUGAAAAUUCUCCAGCUGACAUGGUAGAAAUAAGGGAUGUGCUGCAAAAAUUGACAAAGGAUAUGAGCAAUUUGGCAGGGGAAGUUACUAACUUGAACAGGUUGGAUCAGGUGAUACUGGAAUUAAAGGAUCAUUUGGUGAAUUUUGAAGAGAAGAGGAGAGAUAAAUCUCCAUUAGAUCAAGAUGAACCAUCGAGGGUUAGGCAAUCAGUUGAGAGGGAGCUGUCACGACCCAAGUCGGAAUCCUAGCCGCGACGAGCAUCCUGAACCAUAUAGACUCGGGUGCCCCUUUCUGUCUGGUAAUCAUGAACACCAUUCAUAACAAUAAGAAAAAAAAUACGGAAUACCACAAAUGGAAUCAUGGUCAUAAUCUGAGUUCUGUUUAACAGUACAGAAAUAAGUUAAUCAAUAUCUAGACAACAUCUGUUUGAGUCAGCGAAAUCUCUAUUACAUACAGAACUAUCAUACUGUCUGAAACUGGGACAAGUCCCCCAGUGGACCUAAAGCAAAGUAAAUAACAAGUAUCUGGAAAGAAAUAGGCCUUUCGGAAUAAAGAAGGCUCACCAACUAUACACUUCUCUUUGAAUAACUCUACGGCUUAGCAGGACCUCUAGACUGAGCCUAUAUGGGGUCAAUACAAUUGUACUGGUAUGCAGAGCAAUCCAAAAUAAUGCAUUUAUAUAUAUAAAAUAGAUGAGAGCAGGUCAUGAAACAUCAUGCAUGAUAUAGUUUAAAAUGCAUUGGCAAAUCUUUGAUAAUCAUAAAACAUUCUUGUCAAUGCAAUUCUAUUCUUUGUAUUACUUCUGAGUUAGGUGGUAAAACCUACAAUUCUAUGACCCCACGGGCUAUAUGGAUUCCGCCCUUAACUCGGCAGCCAAGCCCCCAACCCAAGUUUGCGGCAAGAGUUGGAGUUUCUAAUUCUUGUAUGCCACAGCGCAUAAGGCCAGCGUAUAGUCCCCCUUGGGGACAUAAUAACCCAUAUCGACAAAAUAUGAUUUCGGGCAAUGAGUUAUCUGAACUUGAUCCUCUUUCGGGUAACCAUAUAACAUCUCUUUAUGCCCAUUUUAAACUUUUUUGAACAUCAAAAUUUAAGAUCCUAAGUUCUGAAAAAUCUGAAUGAAAACUAAUUUCUAUUGUUAUUCUAAGUCUGUUAUGGAAUUAUCUAUUUUGGUGUCGUCACACCAAGACUUAAAAGUCCUAUAUCUGUGCCAUAUGGUACAAUAAAUGAUUCUUCCAUUCUAAACAAUGUUCAGAAUCUCAACAUGCAAAUAGUAUAAGAAAAUUCAUAUAUCAAAACACGAGUUAAAACCAUAUAAAGAUCUUUAUCCUUUCAACAAUUUUCAACAAAUAGUGGUCCAUUCAUCAAGAACAUUUAUGAAAAUCCCUUCAUUCAUCAUUUAUAACAUUUAACUCAUAAUAUCAUUCCUCUCUCCAAUUCUCAACCAUCAUAAAAGUUCAAGUAAGAUAAUAAGGCUCUUGACUCAUCAUUUAAAUCAUGCAAGUUUAGGAACUCAUAACUUGUAAAUCAAGUAGUUACACACUGGGAGAUGAAAGGAUUCGAUAAUUCAUGCUCUCAAUUCAUAUUUCAAAAAACUUCAACACAUACGUACAUAUAUACUAGUCAAAUCACCUUCAAGGGAAGGCCUCAAGACCAAAACAAUAUUAUCAAGGGCUUCAAAAGCAUGAUUAUAAUUGUGAAUCCAAAACCCUUUUUGUAAGUUCAUGAUUUCUAAACCUUUAACAUCAUUAAGAGGAAAUUUCUAUGCCCAUGUAAUUUUAGGAGAACCCCACAUACCUUAAGUAGUUUAAUUUGAGAAUUGAAACUCCAAUCUUGACACUCUUCUUGAAUUCAUGAACUUAGGAUAUGGACUCUUGAUCUUUGGAAGAGAGGUUAGGGUUUUUGAAACUCCAAUCUUAACACUCUGCCCUAAAAAUGCUUUAAUCCUUAGAUAAUACGAUUAGAAAUGGUGGGGAAAAGACGAGAUUGUCCUCGGACUUAAAAGCUGUUAACCAAAUCCCAUUUUUGAGGCUUACCAUGAUGCGCUGAUGGGGUCAUCGCGAUAACCAUCGCGACGCGGUGGAAUCACUGUGACUCACUAGAUUCUGAUAAUUUUCAUUUUGGGGUUCACCAUAACGUGGUGCAAUCAAGAUGAGUUUUUGGAAAUUGACAAAUGCUGAAUUCGCCUCCAUCACGAUGCGGUGAGGCUUCCAUUGCUAUUUCCACCGUGAUGCGGGGGAAUUGCGGUGGCUUGCUGGAAUGAAAAAUCCAACCAAAUUUUAAACGCUCAUUAAGACUUAGUUAAUAGAAAGGAUUUUGGAACAUUAACGCGUAGAAAUAACGGUCUAUAUUCUAGCCUGAAAUACGGGUCAUUACAUUAUCCCACCUUGGGAUCAUUCAUACCUGAAUGAUGACUUGGGACACAACAAGCACGAUUAAAAAAAUUAAGUAAAAGAAAAGGAGUAGUAUAGGAUUUUGUACCUUCUAAAUCAUCAUCCAUGGCCACAUAAAGUGUCGGGUACCUCGCAUGCAUAUCAUCUUCGGACUCCCAAGUAGCCUCCUCAGCUUUUUGAUUCCUCCAAAGCACCUUAACCGUAGCUAUUUCCUUACUCCUCAACUUUUGAACUUGUCUAUCCAAGAUUGCAACAAGUUUUUCCUCAUACAACAAGGAGUCUUUUACAUUGAUCUCCUCCACAUGCAACACUAGGGAAUAAUAUCCAAUGCACUUUUUCAACAUGGACAAAUGAAAAAUUGGAUGAACGGAAGCCAGACUUGCAGGAAAUUCUAACUCAUAAGCAACCCCACCUAUACUUCUUACAAUCAGAUAUGGUCCUAUAUAGCGAGGUCUCAAAUUCCCUUUCUUCCUGAAUCGCAUGACUCCAUUCAUAGAGGAGAAUUUUAAAAACACGCAAUCACCAACCUCAAAUUCCAGCUCCCUUCUCCUAACAUCAACAUAUGAUUUCUGGUGACUCUGAGCUGUCUUAAGUCGUUCUCUAAUGAUUUACCUUCUCCACUGCCUGAUGAAUAAGAUUAGUCCCAAACAACCAUAUCUCACACACUUCAUACAUAGGUGAUCUACAUCUUCUCCCAUAAAGUGCUUCAAAAGGAACUAUCUUAAUGAUGGCAUGGUAGCUAUUUUUGUAGCGAACUCUAUCAAUGGCAAAUGAUCUACCCAACUACCCUUGAACUCAAUUAUAUAGGCCCUCAAUAGGUUCUGAAUGGUGCAUUCAGGUUGUCCAUCGGUCUGAGCGUGGAAUGUAGUACUAAGGUUCACUUGGGGGCCUAAACCCCUCUAAAAAAGAUUGCCUAAACUGGGAAAAGAAUUGCGUACCUCGAUCGGGUAUAAUUGAUACAGGUACCCCCAGCAACCAAACUAUUUCCUUGAUGUAUAGCUUGGCAUAAUCAUCUCCCGAAUAGUUAGUCCUCAUAGGUAGAAAGUGAGCUGACUUGGUCAUCUGGUCCAAAAUUACCCAAAUGGAAUCAUAUUGCUUUCGAGACCUCGGAAGUCCCGUGAUGAAGUUCAUAUUGACCAUCUCCCGCUUCCAUAUAGGCAAAGCUACCUCUUGGGAAGUACCAUGUGGUCUAAAAUGUUCCACUUAAACUUGUUGGUAAUUCAAACACUUGGAAACAAAAUCAGCAAUAUCACAUUUCAUAUUAUUCCACCAAUAUAUAGCAUUAAGAUCAUGGUACAUUUUAGUAGAGCCUGUGUGAACAACAUACCUUGAAGUGUGAGCCUCAUCGAGGAUCCUCUCUCGCAAACCAUCCACAUUCGGUAUACACAGCUUGCCCUGGUACCUCAAAAUACCAUCAUUUCUAAUUUCAAAAGACAUCACCUUCUGUUGACCCAGAUCUUUCUUAAUUUGCAUCAAGAUAGGAUCCUCAUCCUUCUUCUCCUUAACUUCCGCACAUAGGAAAAAUUUAGCUAUUUCAUGCAUAACUAAUCCUCCAUCUUCAGAAUCCAGAAGUCACACCUCUAGAUUUGCAAGGUGGUGAAUAUCUUUCACCAUCUCCCUCUUUCCUUCCUCAUUAUGAGAAAGACUACCCAUUAAUAAUCUUCUGAGGGCGUCGGACACAAUGUUUGCCUUGCCCGGAUGAUAGUGCAGGCUCAUAUCAUAGUCCUUCAACAAUUCUGACCACCGUUUCUGCCUGAGAUUAACUUCUUUCUAUGAGAAUACAUACUGCAAACUUUUGUGGUCAGUAAAUAUAUCAACAUGUACCCCAGACAAAUAAUGCCGCAAAAUUUUAAGUGCAAACAUCACAACCGCUAACUCCAAAUCACGGGUGGGGUAAUUUCGCUCAUGCACCAUUAACUGUCUAGAUUCAUAAGGUACCAGCUUACCAUGCUGCAUAAGUACACAUCCAAGUCCUACUCGGGAUGCAUCACAAUACACCAAAAAACCCUCUGUACCCACCGAAAGAGUCAAAAUAGGUGCAGUAGUCAACUUGUCUUUCAACUUCUCAAAACUAUUCUCACAAGAGUCAGAACACACAAAUUUCACCUUUUUCUACGUCAACCUAGUAAGUGGAGUAACUAUGGAACAAAAACUCUCUACGAAUCUUCUGUAAUACCCUUCUAAAACCAAGAAGGUUUGAAUGUCGAUUGGAGUUGUGGGUUUGGGCCAUUUUCUCACUGCCUCAAUCUUUUGGGGAUCAACCUUAAUUACCUCACUAAACACAAUAUGCCACAAAAAUGCAAUAGCACUAAGCCAGAAUUCACACUUUGAAAAUUUUCAUACAAUUUAAGAUCUUUGAGGGUCCGAAGAAUAAUUCGAAGGUGAUUGACAUGAUCCUCCUCACUCUAAGAAUAAAUCAAAAUGUCGUCAAUGAAAACUAUGACAAACAGAUCUAAAAACUGAUGGAACACCCUAUUCAUUAGGUUCAUGAAGGUUGCAGGGGUGUUAGUAAACCCGAAGGACAUGACUAAGAAUUCAUAAUGGCCAUAUCAAGUUCGAAAAGCUAUUUUUGGAAUAUCUUCCUCCCUAACCUUCAAUUAAUGAUACCUAAAUGAAGUUCUAUCUUGGAGAAAAACCUAGCACCCUGAAGUUGGUAAAAAAAAUCAUCAAUUCUAGGAAGAGGGUAUUUGUUCUUAACAGUGACCUUAUUCAGCUGACGGUAGUCUAUACACAUGCAAAGGGAACUAUCUUUCUUAUACAUGAAGAGUACAGGUACACCCCAUGGAGAAACACUAGGACGAAUAAAACCCUUGUCAAGAAGAUCUUUUUACUGUUCUUUAAACUCUUUCAAUUCUAAAGGAGCCAUUUUGUAUGGUGGAAUAAAAAUAGGACAAGUAUCCGUCAAGAAGUCAAUACCAAAAUCUAUCUCCCUAUCAAGUGGUAUUAUUGGAAGUUCAUCAGGAAAGACUUCUAGAAAUUUAUUAACCACAGGGAUAGACUGAAGAGAAGGGCUUUUGAUAUUUGAAUCCUUAACCUGAAUAAGAUAAUACAAACAACCUUUGGAAAUAAGCUUACGGGCUCUGAGAUAAGAAAUAAAUUUCCCUUUAGGUUCGAAAGAAUACCCCUCCCACUCUAUCACAAGUUUGUUUGGAAAAAAGAAAGUAACCCUCCGAGUUCUACAGUCUAGGAUGGCGUAGCAUGAGUGAAGCCAAUCCAUUCCUAAUAUAGCAUCAAAGUCAAGCAUGUCAAGCUCUAUAAGGUCUGCCAUAGUAUCAUGAUUAUAAAUAGACACUUCACAAUUUUUUUAUACCCACCUAGACACAACAUAAUCACCUACAUGAGUGGAAACAGAGAAAGGUUCUGAAAUAACUUCGGGCUCAAAAACAAAAUCGACUACCACAUAUGAGGCAACAUAAGAUAAGGUAGACCCGGGAUCAAGUAACACAUACACAUCACGGGAGAAAAUUUGUAACAUACCCGUGACUACAUCUGGUGAGGCCUCUGCCCCUGGCAAUUUGAUAAAUCAUACAACCAAUUGCGGCCACUCCUAAUAGCUGAAUAUCACGAUCCAAACUGAGGCCCUGGCUGUGACAAGCAUUCUGAACCAUGAAGGCUUGAACACCCUUGUCUAUCUGAUAGUCAUGCACAAUAUUCAUACAAUAAAGUAAGAUGCAGAAAUAUAACAUAAUACAAAAUCAUGGUCAUACUCUAAACUGAAUUUAACGAUAAGAAAUUUAAAAUAAAAUAACUCUAGACAAUAUCUAAACUAGUCGUGAAAUCUCUAUUACAUGCUAAAAUAACAACUGUCUGAAUCUGGGACAAGUCCCCCAGUAGACCUAAAACAAAAUAAUAACAUAGUCUGGAAUAAACAGUACUUCUGGAAUAAAGAAGGCUCACCACUGAACAGUCUCUUCUCUUUGAAAUCUCUACUUCUUAGUCGGACCUCUAGAUUGAGCUUCAAAUCCUGAGAGAUAGGGGUCAAUACAGUUGUACUGGUACGCAGAGAAAAUCCAAAAUAAUAAUUUUUAUUCAACAUAUAUAAGAGCUAUUUAAAACAGUUCAUAAAUAUAUCAUAUGUUAAGAAUCACAUGGGCAUAUUUAAAAGACUAUAAAAUCAUCUGAACUUUGUGACAUACUCUUUGUUUUACUUCUGCGCUAGGUGGAGUACCCUAUAAUUCUGUAAUUCCAUGGGCUAUAUGGAAUCUGGCCUUAACUCGGCAGCUAAGCCCCCAACCCAAGUUUUCCAUAAGGGUCGGAGUCUCUGAAUCUCUAAUACACCACAGGGCCGUCGCCAGCGUAUAAAAGUAACAUGCCUGUAUCGGCAAAACACAAUUUUAGGCUAUGAGCCGUUUAGCUCAUGCCCUCUUCGGAUAACUACCUAACCCUCUAUAAGCCUAUUUUUAAUUCUUUACAACAUGUAAUCUUUAAAGUCAGACUCUGAAGACUUAUGUGCAGUUAUGGCAUAAAUUUAUAUGGUAUCGUCAUACCAUUAACUUGCAAGUCACAUUCUCUGAGCCAUUUAUAGCAACUUAUGUCUCUAUUCUCAAAUCAUGGAAUUUAGGACCACCAUAUCAACAAUUCUUUUCAAGAAACUCAUUCUUUAUAACUCAUGUAAAACCAAGCAAGAAAUUCUCUUUAUCAACAAUUCAAUAAACAAAGGUGGUCAUGUCAAAAUUCUUAAUAUCAUGCAAUUUUUUCUCUUUAACACAAAACAUAGUUAUAUCAAGAAACAUCCUAUCAUCAUCUCUAAAUCAUGUUCAAAUACUAUGACAUUGAGAAAACUACUUUCAAUCAUAAAAAUGCAUUUCAACUCUUUUCCAACAAAACCUUAAACUUCAAUUCAAUACAAGAGAGGGAGUUCAUAAUUUGCUCUCUCACACAAUCUUCAAUCUCAAUUUUCAUACUUAUACAUAUACAUGUAAAUCAAUUUAGGGGAAAGGACCACAAGGCCAAAGCAAUAGUAACAUUGAAACAUUCGGAAUACAUAAUUUAAAACAUAGAUUCCAAAACCCUUUUAAAAUUCAUGCUUAAUAAUCAUAAAAUCAUGCUCUAGUGUUUUCAAGCCUAUGUAGUUUUUAGGAUAAACCCCACAUACCUUAGACUAUUAGAGUUGAAAGAUGAAACCUAUAUCUUGAUAGAUGGAACCCGGAUCUUGAUCCUUUUCUUGGAGUCUUGAACUUAACAUCUUGAUUCUUGAUCUUGAGGGAAAGGAUUUAGGGUUUUAAUUUGAGAGGAAAAAUUGAAUUAUGGAGUGUAUUCUUCUUUUGAGGCAUGAAUAUUAUGCUAUGGACAGACCUUGGGUGAGGUAAAGGUCCAAAUUUCCCUUAAAAAUGUGAAAAAAUAACCUGAAAUUAGGUGUGCACGAUGAAGCGUGCGUCGCACGCUAAUCGCGUGUAGCUACUGCCUCUCUCACGAAAAUGGCUGUAACUUUUUGCUCGGGUAUUAGAUUUUGGAGAAAUUGGUAUAGUUAGAAAGACACUUUGAAGAAUUUUCAUUUGAUGUAUAGUAGGCCCUCUAAUUCGAUAUAUACAAGAAGUUAUGGUCGAUGAAAGUUAACCCAAGUUUAAACAUCCAUCGAAACUAAAUUGCUAGAUAUGUUUUCAACUCGUCUUAGAGUUAGGAGAUUUAUAUGACCUCAAUUCAAAUUCAAAGGUAUUCCCACUCUAUAGGAUUGAUAACCACACAUAUUUUAAGAAGGAAUUAUCUAUUUUGGGUCUAUACGCAUAGGAAUAAUGGUCUAGAUUCUAGGCCGAAAGUAUGGGGUAUUACACUGAAGUAGGGUCUCUGGGAGGUAGUGGUGGCAUGGAGGAGUUUGCUUGGGACUUAGAACCAUCGAAUUUACUUCUAGAGGAAGGACAAUAUCUCUGAAAAUGGCCUGGCUGACCACAUGUAUAACAUACCAACCUGCCCAGUUGGCACCUCCUUGGGUGAUGCUUACCGCAGAUCUCAUACCGCGGAAAGGUCCGAUACGGCUGAGCCACACUACCCUGGGACUGGGUACCCUGUGCUCCGAAUCCAUGGCUAGGGUGAAAAUUUUGAGAUCGUCGGUCAAUUGGAGGUCUGGGUGCUAGUGCGCUAGCUGCAGGCUGAGCAUUUCCCCAAAACUUUUUCUUCUGCCACCUGUUCCCCCAAUUACCACCCUGCGGCUGACUAUUGUUCUGGCCCUUUUUGACUGUCUAUCCUUCUCCCUUGCUUCAACAACACUCUUUUUUUGCUCAUCAACCUACUGCAUAUGAAUGGACAAUCCGGAGAAGUCCAUAUCUCUGUUCAACAUUGCCCCUUUUCACUCCAACACCAAUUCAUCCGAAAGACCAUAUGCAAACUUCCUCAUAUAGGCCCUCAUGUUUCCUGCCAAUUUUGGAGAAUAACGGGAGAGUUGACUGAAAUUCAGGGUGUACUCCUUGACGCUCAUCUGUUCCUGUUUCAAAUUCAUAAACUCUUUAGACUUGGACUCUCUCAACUCCUGGGGAAAGAAUCGGUCCAGGAAAGCUUCCACAAAUUUACCCCAUACAUAACGCUCAGCUUUUUGACCCCUCGAAUCUUCCCACUCAUUGUACGACUUAUUUGCUACCUCCUUCAGUUGAUAAGCCACUAGUUCAAACCCUUUCACUUCAUUCAUAUGCAUCACUCAAAAUAUUUUUUCCAUUUCAUCCAUAAACUCUUGUGGAUCCUCCUCUACCUUUGUACCCAUAAACUUAGGCAGGUUCAAUAUCAUAAACUGACCCACCCGUGUAGUCUCAGAUGCACCAGAUGUAGAGCCAACAUCCUCCAACCGUUGGGUCUAUGAAGCUAUCAACUAUGAAAUCAUAUACAUCAAUUGUCUGAACUCAACAUUUGAUAUUUCUCUCUGGGUAGGUUGGGUGUGGUUGGUCCUAGACCGAAGAACCCUAGGUGCCCUAGGUGGACUGGUUUGAAUAGGAGGGGCUCCCAGAGCAGUAACAAAUUUAGAAGUGUGAGCCCUGUUAUGUGUCCUCAUUUUGUGGGUAGGACAGACAUCUUAUGUUUGAGUAUUCUGAUCAUUGGAGCGACGUGGAGGCAUGAUAGCUUUUCUGAAAUACAAGAGACCAUUGAUUAGGGGACAUUCAGACUCUACAGCACGAGCUAAAUCACAAAGAAGGGAGACAUUCCUAAACGCCUAGUAGCCUCUUACUUAUAAGUGUGGCGUGCUACACGCCCAUAAACAAGACUCUACCCGAUGCGAUUUUGCAGACACCCUGGGACCAUGAACCAUUCUUUGAUACCAAGUUUGUCAUAACCCGAGUCAGGACCCUAGCCGUGAUGAGCAUCCCAAACCAUAUAGACUAAGAUGGCCCUUUCUCUCUGGUACUCAUGAACACCAUUCAUAACAAUAAGAAAAAAAAUGUGGAAUACCACAAAUGGAAUCAUGGUCAUAAUCUGAGUUCUGUUUAACAGUAUGAAAAUAAGUUAAUCAACAUCUAGACAUUAUCUAUUUGAGUCUGUGAAAUCUCUAAUACAUACUACACUGUCAAACUGUCUGAAAUUGAGACAAGGCCCCAAUGGAGCUAAACCAAAGUAAAUAACAAGUAUCUGGAAAGAAAUAAGCCUUCCAGAAUAAAGAAGGCUCACCAACUGCACACUUCUAUCUGAAUAACUCUACGGCUUAGCAGGACCUCUGGACUGAGCCUCA